GAUGAACGCUGGCGGCGUGCCUAAUACAUGCAAGUCGAGCGAACAGACGCUGCUCUUGCUCCUCUGACGUUAGCGGCGGACGGGUGAGUAACACGUGGAUAACCUACCUAUAAGACUGGUAUCACUUCGGGAAUCCGGAUCUAAUACCGGAUAAUAUCUUGCACCGCAUGGUUCAAUGGUGAAAUUCGGUUUUUCUGUCUCUUAUCGCUGCAUCCGCGCCGCAUUAGCUAGUUGGUACGGUCACGGCUUAUCACGGCAACGAUGCGUAGCCGACCUGAGAGGGUGAUAGGCGGCACGGGAAGGUGAACACGGUCAAGACGACUGAGAGAGGCAGCAGAAGGGAAUGUUACGCAGUAGGCGAAAACAUGACGGAGCAAGGGCACGUGAGAGAUGAAGAUCUUCGGAUCGUAAAAAUCUGCUACGAGGGAAGAACAAAUGUGUAAGGAACUAUGCACGUAGUGACGGUAACUGAUCAGAAAGCAACGGCUAACUACGUG
rnacentral:rRNA from 1 species